rnacentral:rRNA from 1 species
AGAGUUUGAUCCUGGCUCAGAAUCAACGCUGGCGGCGUGCCUCAGACAUGCAAGUCGAACGCGAAAGUCCCCUUCGGGGGGCAAGUAGAGUGGCGCACGGGUGAGUAACACGUAGGUAAUCUACCUUUGGAUUGGGAAUAACCAUGGGAAACUGUGGCUAAUACCGAAUAAUGCAGCGGCACCUAAUGGUGACAGUUGUUAAAGCGGGGGAUCGCAAGACCUCGCGUCUGAAGAGGAGCCUGCGGCAGAUUAGCUAGUUGGUAAGGUAACGGCUUACCAAGGCUAUGAUCUGUAGCCGGCCUGAGAGGGCGGUCGGCCACACUGACACUGACAUACGGGUCAGACUCCUACGGGAGGCAGCAGUCGGGAAUUUUGGGCAAUGGGCGAAAGCCUGACCCAGCAACGCCGCGUGAAGGAUGAAAUCCCUCGGGAUGUAAACUUCGCAAGAACGGGAAGAAUAAGUAAGAGUUAAUAUCUCUUACGAUGACGGUACUGUUUGUAAGCUCCGGCUAACUCCGUGCCAGCAGCCGCGGUAAUACGGGGGGAGCAAGCGUUGUUCGGAUUUACUGGGCGUAAAGGGCGGGUAGGCGGCCACUGCAAGUCGGUUGUGAAAUCUCCGGGCUUAACCCGGAAAGGUCAAUCGAUACUGCAGGGCUAGAGUGCAGAAGGGGCAACUGGAAUUCUCGGUGUAGCGGUGAAAUGCGUAGAUAUCGAGAGGAACACCUGCGGCGAAGGCGGGUUGCUGGGCUGACACUGACGCUGAACUGCGAAAGCUAGGGGAGCGAACGGGAUUAGAUACCCCGGUAGUCCUAGCCUUAAACGAUGAAUGCUUGGUGUCUGGGGUUUUAUAGUCCCCGGGUGCCGUCGCUAACGCUUUAAGCAUUCCGCCUGGGGAGUACGGUCGCAAGACUGAAACUCAAAGGAAUUGACGG